AUCCCGUCCACCGAUUGACUAAGGUUUCCAGAGGAAGGCUCGUCCGCUCUGGGUUAGUCGGGUCCUAAGCUGAGGCCGACAGGCGUAGGCAAUGGAUAACAGGUUGAUAUUCCUGUACCACCUAUAAUCGUUUUAAUCGAUGGGGGGGACGCAGUAGGAUAGGCGAAGCGUGCGAUUGGAUUGCACGUCUAAGCAGUAAGGCUGAGUAUUAGGCAAAUCCGGUACUCGUUAA
rnacentral:rRNA from 1 species